ensembl:lncRNA
ACAACACAGCUCCUGCAUCACGCCACCUCCUCGGGCUUCCAGCACAUCUCAACACAGAACUAGAGCAAAAGGGCAGAUUAUUUAAAGCCGUCACAUGUAGGCCAAUUUUCGCUGCAGUUCCUUUUGGCUCUGAUUUUGCAGGCCCCAGCGGAGUGGUGAAGUCAUGAAUAAAUGCAAGCAAACCGAGCUGAUCCACUCUCAUUUGAGCAGCGGAGUUUACUCGCCCCAUGCUGCUUCAGCUGGAACACCAGAAGCAUCCCUUCCGUUUGGCUUCGACCGGAGCUGAGUGACUGCCGCGCUUGUCAUCGUGUGGUCAAAACAGUGGUGAGAGCCAGAUCCUUCAAAGUUGGAAAAAUCAUAAUAAUGGAGUCCCCGCCAUCCUGCUGUGUUUAUAAAGAGAUGUUUUCUUCCUGAGCUACACAGCAUGGCAGGCUUAAUCUGAAAUUUCUUUUUAAUCAUAGCAGGAGUCCCAAUUAACGUGUCGGGUAAUCGUUCGAGUAGAACCGGAGCUUCAUGGCUGUGGGGAUGAGCAGGAAUGGACCCUUGGGGCUGGGACCAAGAGCUCUGAGCAUCCCCUGCCACGUUUGGGGCACACAGAGCACUGAGCAUCCUCUGCAACGUUUUAGGUGCACAGAGCUCUGAGAAUCCCCUGUGACAUUUGGGGUGCACAGAACUCUGAGCAUCCCCUGCAACAUUUGGGGCACACAUUGCUCUGAGCAUCCCCCGCCACGUUUGGGGUGCACAGAGCUCUGAGCACCCCCGUGCCACAUUUGGAGCCCUGGGCUCACUCAGCUGCAGCAGGGCACAGGGCUCAGCUCCGGGCACUGCAGGGCGCCGUGUUGCCUCUCCGUGCCCCUUCCCAGAGGAGGCACACGGUGCAUUCCUGCUGCAGGAUGCAGCCGUGCUCCAGCGCGUGCCGGCGGGACCGGCCCUGACCUACUUUCCUUUGUUGCGGGAGCUGCAGGCAGGAUGCAGGAUGCUGUGUGCAGGCAGCGUGCAGGCAGGAUCCGGCUUCGCUUUGCUCCUGCACAUCUCCUGACACCGCCACCGCUGUUUCCACCCACCGACCUCAAUCUAUUUAGACCAAUCCCAAUAGCAGGACGCUCCAACCCACCCUGUCCAUCCAGCACAGAAAACUGCAGCGCCCCGCAAUUUCCAAAUGCUGGACCUACAUGGCCAGGUGCCCUUUAGCUCUCCGAGGAUGCACCCACACCUCCACGGGCAGCCAACCCUGGCAUCCUUGAGCACAGAAAGCUCAUGCUACGUUUCUAUCCUCCAUUCAUGCAUUAGGGUUGAACCCGGCGCUGCGCUGACCUGGAAAGCGAAGCUCUUUAAAAUUCAAACGUGCACCCGUGGCGGAUUUCAGCGGUGCUACGGAGAACGCAGCCCUCCUCCUGCACAGCUCCUGCAGCACUUUGGUUGGGAUGCUGAGCUGCAGCCCUGAGGUUUGGGGCUCAGAGGCUCGCUGCAGUCACUGGGGCUCGUGCAAAUUGGUCUUCAGAGGGAAAGAGCUCCGCCACCGCAUGCACAAACACUCCUCAGCAACCGACUAAAUUGCUCCACCGGCCACCUGGGUUAACACAGAGGCUGGAUUUUGCAGAUUUGGAGAUAAAAGGCUGCGAUGGUUAACUCGCAUCCUGCAGCCCUUGUAAGGCAGCCAUUCUGCACGAGGCUUCCCUCCUGCAAUGCUUUAAGGAUGGAGCAUUUUAAUUGAUUAGCUCCAUUACGGAGGAGCAGAAUAGCAGCGGUGCAGUUGAACUUUGGUCCUUGAAAUGCAGGGAGACAUCAGCCUGCAGUGUUCUGGAAGCCUUGGGGGCUCAUUUCUGCUGCCCCGUGCUCUCAGCCUGG